rnacentral:rRNA from 1 species
UGGGGAAUAUUGCACAAUGGGCGCAAGCCUGAUGCAGCCAUGCCGCGUGUGUGAAGAAGGCCUUCGGGUUGUAAAGCACUUUCAGCGGGGAGGAAGGCGUUAAGGUUAAUAACCUUGGCGAUUGACGUUACCCGCAGAAGAAGCACCGGCUAACUCCGUGCCAGCAGCCGCGGUAAUACGGAGGGUGCAAGCGUGAAUCGGAAUUACUGGGCGUAAAGCGCACGCAGGCGGUCUGUCAAGUCGGAUGUGAAAUCCCCGGGCUCAACCUGGGAACUGCAUCUGAUACUGGCAAGCUUGAGUCUCGUAGAGGGGGGUAGAAUUCCAGGUGUAGCGGUGAAAUGCGUAGAGAUCUGGAGGAAUACCGGUGGCGAAGGCGGCCCCCUGGACGAAGACUGACGCUCAGGUGCGAAAGCGUGGGGAGCAAACAGG